CCUACGGGUGGCAGCAGUGGGGAAUAUUGCACAAUGGGGGGAACCCUGAUGCAGCAACGCCGCGUGAAGGAAGACGGUUUUCGGAUUGUAAAGUUCUGUUCUUAGUGAAGAAUAAUGACGGUAGCUAAGGAGCAAGCCACGGCUAACUACGUGCCAGCAGCAGAGGCAAUCAGUAGGUGGGAAGCGUUGUUCGGAAUUACUUGGUGUAAAGGGUGCGCAGGCGGGAAGCUAAGUCAGGUGUGAAAACUACGGGUUUAAAUUGUGGACUGCAGUUGAAACUGGUUAUCUUGAGUUAAGUAGAGGUAGGCGGAAUUCCGAGUGUAGCGGUGAAAUGCGUAGAUAUUCGGAAGAACACCGGAGGCGAAGGCAGCCAACUGGGCUUAAACUGACGCUGAGGGUCGAAAGUGUGGGGAGCAAACAGGAUUAGAUACCCUAGUAGUC
rnacentral:rRNA from 1 species